CCUACGGGAGGCAGCAGUGAGGAAUAUUGGUCAAUGGGCGCAAGCCUGAACCAGCCAUGCCGCGUGCAGGAUGAAGCAUCUAUGGUGUGUAAACUGCUUUUGUACGGGAAGAAACACCGAUUCGUGAAUCGGCUUGACGGUACCGUAAGAAUAAGGACCGGCUAACUCCGUGCCAGCAGCCGCGGUAAUACGGAGGGUCCAAGCGUUAUCCGGAAUCAUUGGGUUUAAAGGGUCCGUAGGCGGUCAGGUAAGUCAGUGGUGAAAGCCCAUCGCUCAACGGUGGAACGGCCAUUGAUACUGCCAGACUUGAAUUAUUAGGAAGUAACUAGAAUAUGUAGUGUAGCGGUGAAAUGCUUAGAUAUUACAUGGAAUACCAAUUGCGAAGGCAGGUUACUACUAAUGGAUUGACGCUGAUGGACGAAAGCGUGGGUAGCGAACAGGAUUAGAUACCCUGGUAGUCCACGCCGUAAACGAUGGAUACUAGCUGUUCGGAGCAAUCUGAGUGNGUAGACGAAGUAGAGUAAGUAGUACCACCGUACGGGAGGUAACGGGUCGGCGAGACGUCGUUAACGUUAACGUAAGUUAAGUUAGGACGNGAGAGAGCGACGACGACGACGACGGAGGAGGAGG
rnacentral:rRNA from 1 species